rnacentral:rRNA from 1 species
GACGAACGCUGGCGGCGUGCUUAACACAUGCAAGUCGAACGGAAAGGCCCGGCUUAUGUGGGGUGCUCGAGGGGCGAACGGGUGAGUAACACGUGAGUAACCUGCCCUUGACUGUGGGAUAACUUCAGGAAACUGGGGCUAAUACCGGAUAGGAGCUCCUGCUGCAUGGUGGGGGUUGGAAAGUUUCGGCGGUUGGGCAUGGACUCGCGGCCUAUCGGCUUGUUGGUUUGGUAGUGGCUUAGCAAGGCUUUGCCGCGUGGCCUGGCUGCGCGGGUGACCGGCCCCGCUGCGCUUGGGCUGCGGCCCGGCCCCCUCCGGUACGCAGCAGUGCGGUAUGUUGUACUAUGGGCUGAACCCUGAUGCAGCACCGCCGCGUGCGGUAUGUCGGCCUUCCGUUUGUAUUCCGCUUCCGCCUGUGACGAAGCGUGAGUGACGGUAAUGGGUAAAGAAGCACCGGCUAACUCCGUG